rnacentral:rRNA from 1 species
GAUGAACGCUGGCGGCGUGCCUAAUACAUGCAAGUCGAGCGAACGGACGAGAAGCUUGCUUCUCUGAUGUUAGCGGCGGACGGGUGAGUAACACGUGGAUAACCUACCUAUAAGACUGGGAUAACUUCGGGAAACCAGAGCUACUACCCGAUAAUAUUUUGAACCGCAUGGUUCCAAAGUUAAAGUCGGCCUUUCUUUCACUUAUAGCUGACUCAGCCCUGCAUUAGUUAGUUGGGAAGGUAACGGCUUACCAACGCAACGAUGGAUACCCGACCUCAGAGGGAGGUCGGCCACACGGGAAGUGAGACACAGUCCAGACACCGACGGGAGGAAGCAGUAGGGAAUCUUACGGGAUGGGGGAAAGCCGGACGGUGCAACGCCGCGUGAGUGAUGAAGGUCUUCGGAUCGUAGAACGCUGUUAUUAGGGAAGAACAAAUGUGUAAGUAACUGUGAACAUCUUGACGGUACCGAAUCAGAAAGCCACGGCUAACUACGUG